CACACACGCUAGGGGAGCCUUUGGCUGAGAUUGGUAGAAACCGAACCCUCACUACUUGAACCGGAUAAUGCCGGCGUAAGGAAGCAUCAGUAGUCCCCU
rfam:Clostridium saccharolyticum WM1, complete genome.